AGUUUAUUUUUGUGUAUGGUGUUAGGAAGUGUUCUAAUUUCAUUCUUUUACAUGUUGCUGUCCAGUUUUCCCAGCACCACUUAUUGAAGGGCCUCUCUUCACUGUAUAUUCUUGCCUCCUUUGUCAUAGAUUAGUUGACUGUAGGUGCGUGGGUUUAAUUCUGGGCUUUCUGUCCUGUUCCACUAAUGUAUAUUUCUAUCUUUGUGCCAGUACCACAUAGUUUUGAUGUCUGUAACUGUGUAGUAUAGAGGUCAGAGUAGAAAUAAAUGAAAUAGAAAUGAAGAAAACCAUGGAAAAGAUCAGUGAAACAAAAAGCUGGUUCUUUGCAAAGAUCAACAAAAUUGAUAAACCCUUAGCCAGACUUACCAAGAAAAAAAGAGAGGAUUCAAAUCAAUAAAAUUAGAAAUGAAAAAGGAGAAGUUACAACAGACAUCACAGAAAUGUAAAGGAUCAUAAGAGACUAGUACAUGCAACUAUAUGCCAAUAAAGUGGAAAACCUAGAAGAAAUGGAUAGAUUCUUAGAAAAGUGCAAUCUUCCAAGACUAAACCAAGUUGAAAUAGAAAAGACGAAUGGACCAAUCACAAGUACUGAAAUUGAAAAUGUGAUUUAAAAACUUCCAACAAACAAAAGUCCAGGACCAGAUGGCUUCACAGGAGAAUUCUAUCAAACAUUUAGAGAAGAGCUAACACCUAUCCUUCUGGAACUAUUCCAAAAAAUUGCUCAGGAAAGAAUACUCCCAAACGCAUUCUAUGAGGCACCGUCACCCUAAUACAAAAUGCAGACAAAGAUACCACACACAAAAAAAGAAAAUUACAUGCCAAUUUCACUGAUAAACAUAGAUGCAAAAAUCCUUAACAAAACACUAGCAAACUGAAUCCAACAAUACAUAAAAGGAUUGUACAUUAUGAUCAGGUGGGAUUUAUCCCAGAGAUGCAAGGAUUCUUCAAUAUCUGCAAAUCAAUCGGUGUGAUACACCACAUUAACAAACUGAGGGAUGAAAACCAUAUGAUCCCCUCAAUAGAUGCAGAAAACGCCUUUGACAAAAUCCAACACCCAUUUCUGAUAAACACCCUUCAGAAAGUGGGCAUAGAGGGAACCUACCUCAACAUAGUAAAGGCCAUGUAUGACAAACCCAGAGCUAACAUCAUUCUCAAUGGUGAAAAGCUGAAAGAAUUCCCGCUGAGAUCAGGAACAAGACAAGGAUAUCCACUCUUACCACUACUAUUCAACAUAGUUUUAGAAGUCCUAGCCAUGGCAAUCAGAGAAGAAAAGGAAUAAAAGGAAUCCAAAUUGGAAAGAAAUAAGUAAAAUUAUCACUAUUUGCGGAUGACAUGGUACUAUACGUAGAAAAUUCUAAAGACGCUACCAGAAAACUGUUAGAGCUCAUCAAUGAAUUUGGCAAAGUCGCAGGAUACAAAAUCAAUACACAGAAAUCAACUGCAUUUCUAUAUACUAACAACGAAAGAUCAGAAAGAGAAAUUAGGGAAACAACCCCACUUACCAUCACAUCAAAAAGGAAAAAAAAUACUUAGGAAUAAACCUACCUAGAGAGACAAAAGACCUGUACUGUGAAAACUAUAAGACGCUGAUGAAAGAAAUCAAAGAUGGCGCAAACAGAUGGAAAGACAUACCAUGCUCUUGGAUUGGAAGAAUCAAUAUUAUCAAAAUGACUAUACUACCCAAGUCGAUCUACAGAUUCAAUGCAAUCUCUAUCAGAUUACCAAGGACAUUUUUCAGAGAACGUGAACAAAAUAUUUUAAAGUUUGUUUGGAAGCACAAAAGACCCAGAAUAGCCAAAGACAUCCUGAGAAAGAAAAAUGGAGCUGGAGGAAUAAGGCUCCUUGACUUGAGAUGGUGAAAUUUCUGAUCUAGCAGGCUUGGCAGUGACCUUGGCUUUGCCAAGGGGUGUGUUGCCAUUGCAUGGGAGUAGCUCUAAAGAGCAGAACCUAGAAUACCCAGGACAUGUGGCAGCAUCCUUAGGGCAGGAUGAAGUGAAACACAAGGCAGGCAGACCAGCAGACCCACUUUCCCCGGUUGGCUAUAUAAACCUCUCUCAACUGGUGUUCUGUAUUCUUUUAUAAAAUGGUCAGUUAGGUGUGGCCACAGGAGACAGAGGAGAAGUUCAGGAAAAAAUGAAGUUUUUUAUACUCACAAUCCAUGAGGGCACAGCACACCACACAGGGCCACAUGGGAAAGUCACCAGGGUGGUCAGAAGACAGGUGGGAGGGCAAGUUUAGCCCAGUGCCUUUAUUGGAGUUUCCUUGGGAAAGGCAGGCUGAGCAGUAUCAAUGCUUCAGGAUUGAGUACUUUGAGGAAAAUCUGCAGGCUUUGGCUCUAGGGAUAGUCCCUAGUUGCCUGGCACCUGGCCCUGGGAUGACUGGGUUAGAGGAGUAUUGCCUCCUGGGGUGUAUGGGCCCAGGAGAGGAAGUAAGGCUCUGGACUGGUUCGUUUGCGUGUCUCAGGCAUGCUCCUGACUGGGUCCUUUUUUAUCUCUCUACAAAUCGGCUAGCCCAGGGAGGGCAGUCUCUCCCGGCCAGAAAGGUUUUCUAAAGAUGUCAAAACACCAUAAUAAACAGAAAAAUUUAAGUAUUUACCAUAUAAUGGAUUUUUUAUCUGAGAGGCAUUAUCAUCAUCAUCAUCAUUUUGCCACAUCCCAGGACUUGUCCCCGUAGUGUUGUACGUGCCAAAGUUGUGUAACAUCUAGAUGGUCUAGAAGAUCUGCCAGUUUUCCUCCCCUCUUUGAGCCAUUUUUUAAAAAUUAGCUAAGGAAACUAAAGGACAAUAAGAAAUGAGCCUGCAAGGAAAUUGGCUAUGAAUUGUUUACUGACCCUCAAAGCUCCCUCGGUCUUGCUGCACAGAUCCUCCAGCCCUGACAGAUAAUCAGCUCUUCUGAGAAAUUCCUUGCUUCAUAAAUUGGAGUACUUGAGUAUCACACUGACAGGAACUCAAUAUUUUUCUCGGAAGGAUUUGGUCAGUCUGAACUGGCUGUUCAUUAGUAAAUGGAGUCGUGCCCAGGUAGUGAGUACCAGCUAGUGUUCAUCUCAACUGUAGCGCGGCAGAGUCUUCGCUGUUCUUCUGAAAUUUCUUCUUUCCUUCUUAUUGGGCACAUAACUGCCUAGUUAGAGACUGGAUUUCCCAGCCAGCUUUGCAGCUAGGCAUGGCUGUGUGAUUCAUGGCUGUGUGAAUCUGAUGUAUGUCAUUUCAGCCUAAGCUGAUAGAAAGAAAACUGCUUGCCCAAGACUCUCUUUUAUUAAGUGGAAAGUGCACAAGCCAGGGAACCAGCUGCAGGUGCGUGGAAGAGGCUAACGCCCCAGAGGAGCAGAGCCGUGAGAUGGAAGGAACCUGGGACCCCUCAGGCAGCUUCCAGAGUUGAGAGAACCUGCCAACCUGAAGUACUCCCCUUGAGACUUUUACAUGAGAAAUAAGUUUCUGUUUCAUUUAAACCGUUAUAUCAUGGCUGCAGAGAUGUGACCUAAUUGUAAUCUCUUCGGGAGGUCACACAGGCUCUGUGCCAGCCUUUUGUGAUGGGAUCUAUGCCACUUGACUAUGAUGGCCAAAGCAAGGGGCCGCUUUGUUUAUACUGUGGACAAGAAUGUCGGUAAAUGAAGGAGGUUUGCAGCCAUCAAGCCAUCAGCCUCAGCAGCCACCCCCAAAGGUGCACCCUGAGGGAAAUCAGGAUAGAGAAAAACAGAAUACUGGCCCUAAAUAGUUAAGGUGUAUAUCAAAGGAAUAAUUUCAGGGAGCCCAGACUCCUGCAUUUUCCCAUGCAUAGGAAAGCACAAAUUCAUUCGCUUGAGAUGUCUGGUUUUCUUUAAUAUUUUGAUGUUCCCACUACCUGUUUUUGUUGUUGUUGUUAUUUUUUUUCCAAAAACUCCUGUAUAUCCUGGCUCCUCCCUUACGUCUUUAGAACAGUCCCUCAGAGCUAUCUCAUAGGCUGUCUCCUGGGCUUAAGUCCUCAAACAUAAUUCUCAACUUUUAGGUGGUUCAUUUUUUGUUGGUACAUAGGACUUUUAUAUCUCCCUUCAUGACCAAUGAUGUAGUUUGUUGCUACAAAACCCCUCCCUCCCCCAAAUACGGUCUGUGUAACAACUGUUCUGGAAGAUGUUCCUCAAAUCAUUUUGGAGCCAGACACAUUUUGCAAAUACUUACACUAUACCUCCCUCUGAAGAGUCGUGUGUAUAUUAACAUACAUGUAUAUAUUACAUGUGUAUAUAUUAAUAUACUUUUUAAGGUAUAGAAAAGUCUGAAAUAAAUUUAACUGGUUUAACCCAGAGUUUUUUAAACCAUAUUUGGCUGCAGACCACCCCUAGAUGCUUCCUUUUUUUCCUGAUAAUAGCUGUUAAUAUCAUGUAAAACUAGUACGUUCUGUGAAACACAUUUAGGAAAUGCAGAUCUAACCCCUGACCUGGCCUUAAUUGGCACUAUUUCCGAGACCACUGAGCAGGUCAGCCAUAGACACGGACCUAACUCUACAUUGGGUAGAAAAAUGUUGGAAUUUGUUUAUAGUGUGUGGUUAUUGGAUGUUAGCCCAGUCAGUAGUAAACAGGAAAUGUUUUAACUUGAGAAUAUAACAAGAACUCCAGAGACAAGGGAAAUACACACCCCACAUAAAAUCCUUACCCAACAAACCAUAAACAUAUAACUAAAGUCUUCCUUCCCAUAACCCCCUUUCGCAAUGCUUAAAAUAGAGACUCUAGCCUUUACUGAUAAGAAAACUUGGUUUCGCUUCUGUUUAAUCCCAGCCUGAUUUAGUAGCAAGAGUGUGGGUUCUAGAGUCAAACAGAGCUAGAUUUGAAUCCUACUUACUAUCUUUGCGAUUUUGGAAAAAGUUGUUUUUUCUAACCGAGCCUUAAUUUCCUAUUUUAUAAAACGGGAAUAAAGAUACCUCAUUAUGUUUGCAGGUAGUUAAGUGAGAUAAUGCCGGCAAAGCCCCAAGCAAAGCACCUUAGUGCAUACUAAGGGUUCAACAAUUGGUAGAGUUAUCUCAACUUCUCUAUUCUCAUCUUACCCUCCUCUUUUUAGAUGUUUAUAUGUAUUUCAGAUUGUCUUUACCAUAUGUCUACUAUAGAAUCCAUCUCAUAUUCCUUAUAAUCCAAGAUAUUUAUUAAACAUCCAUUUAAAACUAAUGAAUGUAAUUCGUUCAUCUUGCUGCCCAGAUGUCUUCUCUUCCUGAUAGUUGUUAUAGGAUAUAAAUAGUCCCUCCUCUUUUGCCCAAUGAAAUUUUUGAGUACCAAAAUUGAUGAUGCUAUGGUGCUCUUUCACUAUAACAAUUGAUUAAUAUUUUAAAAAUACCAAAGAUGGAACAUUAUCCAACUAAGUUAUUUUUUUUCCUUCUUUGUGGGGACAAAAUAUUAUGUCUAUAAUUAAAUUUUAUUUAUUUUCCUACAACUCUGUUUUAACAGAUAAGGGCACUAAGUGACACUGAAAGUCAAAACUACACUUUUAGUAACCCAAGAUUUUUUUAGGAACUGAAAUAAGUCAAAAGGUUGACUGAUAGUUAGAAAUUUGUUUGAAAUUUGGUUGGUUCAUCACAUUUGUAAAAUGCAGAAGUUUUGCUUAUGGCGAUAAUUGGGUAGCUUGUGUCAAACAAACCCUCUCUGAACACAAUUACAAGAGCUGAAUAGCAUUGAAAACAAACAAAUGCAGCUAGUUGAGGAUAUCAGAGAACAACCAAGGCAGCCAAGACUUUAAGAGCCAAAAUUCCAGAGCUAUCCCUUGACAUAAAAAUCUAAUAAGAAUGAAACAA
rnacentral:lncRNA from 1 species